GCGCUCCCUGAUAAAAUCAUAUAGGGAGUCCGGCCUGCCCAGUGAUAUUUUUAACGGCCGCGGUACUCUGACCGUGCAAAGGUAGCAUAAUCAUUUGCCCUAUAAUUAAGGGCUCGUAUGAACGGUCUCACAAGAAUGGGACUGUCUCUUUUAAAAUUUCUAAAAUUUGGUUUUUAGGUGAAGAAACCUAAAUUAAAUUGAUAGACAAGAAGACCCUAUCGAGCUUUAAAGUAAUUAGUUAAACAAGUAGUAAACUAACUUUAACUAAAAAUUUUGGUUGGGGCGACUAAGGAACAAAUAAAGCUUCCUCAAAAACUUAAUUACUCAUCAGUAAUGAUCCAAAAUAUUUGAUUAAUAAAAUUAGUUACCGUAGGGAUAACAGCAUAAUCUUUUUUAAGAGUUCUUAUCGAAAAAAAGGUUUGUGACCUCGAUGUUGGACUAGGAUAUCCAGAAAGAUGCAGAAGUCUUCAAUGGUUGGUCUGUUCGACCAAUAAAAUCCU
rnacentral:rRNA from 1 species